rnacentral:rRNA from 1 species
UACGGAGGGUGCAAGCGUUAUCCGGAUUUAUUGGGUUUAAAGCGCACGUAGGCGGUUCGUUAAGUCGGAUGUGAAAGCCCUCGGCUCAACUGAGGAAGUGCACCCGAAACUGGCGAGCUUGAGUACGAAAGAGGAUCGCGGAAUUCCCGGUGUAGAGGUGAAAUUCGUAGAUAGUCGGAGGAACACCGGUGGCGAAGGCGGCGAUCUGGGUCGAUACUGACGCUGAGGUGCGAAAGCUAGGGGAGCAAACAGG